rnacentral:rRNA from 1 species
UUCGUAGGCGGUGUGGCAAGUCGGGAGUGAAAUCUCUGGGCUCAACCCAGGGACUGCUUCCGAAACUGCUGUGCUUGAGUGUGAGAGAGGCUCGUGGAAUUGCAGGUGUAGCGGUGAAAUGCGUAGAUAUCUGCAGGAACACCCGUGGCGAAAGCGGCGAGCUGGAUCACUACUGACGCUGAGGAACGAAAGCUAGGGAGCAAACA